rnacentral:pre_miRNA from 1 species
AAUAUACUCCCGCCGUUCGGAAUUACUUGUCUCGGAAAUGGAUGUAUCUAGAACUAAAAUACAUCUAGAUACAUCCAUUUCUGCGACAAGUAUUUCCGAACGGAGGGAGUAUGAA